rnacentral:rRNA from 1 species
UACGAAGGGGGCUAGCGUUGCUCGGAAUUACUGGGCGUAAAGCGCACGUAGGCGGCUUUCUAAGUCGGGGGUGAAAUCCUGGAGCUCAACUCCAGAACUGCCUUUGAUACUGAAGAUCUUGAGUCCGGGAGAGGUGAGUGGAACUGCGAGUGUAGAGGUGAAAUUCGUAGAUAUUCGCAAGAACACCAGUGGCGAAGGCGGCUGUCUGGUCCGGUUCUGACGCUGAGGCGCGAAAGCGUGGGGAGCAAACAGG